UUCAGUCAAUCAGCUUUUGCAGCUACCACAGCGUGAACCCUUUUAAUAUGAACAAGCCAUGGUGGUUAUUCCCCUAUGAAUCCCUAAGUCUGCCUGCUUGUUAAUUUCCUUUUAUAAUUUUUUAUGGGAGAGUCCUCUGUGAAGACAUGUUAGCUAAGUUUACAGUGUAGAGAGAGGGAAAAUGAGAAUAAUCACCGGUGGGCAGUAUUUCAGUUUCUAAAGUUAAAGGGGAUUAGUUAAAUUAAAUAUAGGGCAUUCAAGAAUAGCAACCAGAGUCAGUGACAGGAACAAAGUGAUGGGAGGUGGCUUCUCAUUAGCAAAGCAGUGAUGAGAGAGAGGAGAAGAACAUAGUGGCAAAGAUAUAAGAAGUGAAAAGCACCCCUUCAGAGAAAUGUUUGGGUCUAACUUGCCUUUAAAAUUAUCUCUGUGCAACCUCCUAAAGUCGUUUAUUAUCAGUUAAGAAUCCCUAAUCUUCCUUAGGUUCUGUUUUUGAUGAUGGUUUUCAGUUACCUCCCAAACUGAUAUGGUUAUUUGCUGCCCUACUUGUUUUCUAGUGUUUCCAGUUUACUUUAUCAUACUUAAUUUUUUAAAAAAUAAUUUUAAAUAAACACAAAGUUUUCAAAUUAAAUCCAGGUGACUUAUUGCCUUUCAUCCUUUCCAGCAGGAGUACAUUAAAAUCCAGUACAUUUUCUCUAGGACUUGACCUAAAAGCAGCAGGCACCUUGCAAUGGAAGGGAUAUGGCAGAAAUUAGAAAAGCCCAACCAGAGUCAGGAGAUGACCAGAGGAAUGGCAGCCACUUCCCAAGGAAUGAGAGGGUUUUACUUCGGAGAUGAGCUGACAGAGCAUCAUUGAGAGGGCUCUGUAGACACUGAAGGACACAGGUAUGUGGGCAGAGGAAAAACAGCUCAAUGCCUUUUUCAUCACAUGCUGUGCCACAGGAAUGUCGAUCUUCAUGUGACCUGCAGCUGAGCGUGGGAACUCCUGGGCACAGGAGUAGUAGCAGGUAGGUGCUAAAUUCCCACAGUAAUGUAAAAGGCACUGAGCUUCUCAAAGCAAUAGCCACUGGAAACUGCUGCCCAGCUGCCCUGGCUGACAGCAUCCUGUGCUGCCUGUUCCUCCCAGGACAGUGUUCAGGGGCAGCUUCUCCCUACACUCACUCUGCCCUGCCCUGAGCACUGGAUUUUGGCAUCUGCCAAUGAUGGGACACGAGAUGAAGAUUUGGUCUAGUCCG
rnacentral:lncRNA from 1 species